AUCCUGUAUGGAUCCAAGCAUUAAACUUCACAGCAAAAACUGGAGAGUUGACAUUUCAGGGUUAAACAUUUCCAAGUUGAUGUCAACUCAUGAAGUGUUAAUUUAACAUUUUCUGAUUCAAAUGUUUUUUAUUGUUGGAGUUAUUUCACAAUGUUAAUCAUGUCAGAGUUAGACCAACUCUGCAGAGACGUGAUUAUGCUCCGUCCCUGUAUGUCACUGCUUCGGUUGGAGACGAGAUUACGACGAGUCUGCCUCAAUUUUCUCUCCUCAUGCAGUUCACAGGUAAAAAUGUUGGUCCAGGUGAAGUACAGACAACAGCAGAAAUGUGACAUUGGAUGCAGUUGAAGGACAGUUUGACUUUCUACAAUUCAAGGAAAAAGAUUUUGCCUGCCACCUGAUGCAAAAGUUGUAUACAAGGAUGCAACAGACAGAGAGAAGUUAAUACAGAAAUAUUCAGAGACAUCAUUGGACGAGGCAACGUGGUGUUGACAGUUUUCUCAGAGUUCUCCGAAGGGUCUUUUUUCCUCUGCUUCUGAUAAGUCCGAUUCAAGCUUCAGCUCAAGUGCAUCAUCUGCGAAUGUCGAAGCAAUUCCGAGCAAGAGACAAAGAAUCGAGGAUACACUUGAUGCAGUGUCUGCUAAACGGGUCAUCACAAAGCUUGUUUCUCAGUAGUCUCUUAACACUUUCUCUAGAAAAGCUGUUUAUCAUUAUGUUUUGUGUUAUGUUUUCUUUAUUAGUUGAUUGAAGCUGUGCUGAGGCAAGUCUGGUGGUGAAGAAGUACUACAGGAAUACCAAACAAUAGAAACAUUAAAAGAUGCCACAAGAAGACAAAUGGUUAACAUACUAGUAGCUCGCAUGAUUGAAAAUCAUGAGUGUGUUUUUUUUAUAUUGUUUUAUUUGUGCCAAAUAACUGCAUGCCCAUUGUGCAAAUUUUGAUUAGGAAUUUAAUAUCUUAAUAUCUCCUCUCAGGCACAUCCCUACUAAAGCUAUAAGAGAAGAGUAUGCUCUUGGGAUAGUGACGUCGUUCCCUUCCCUCAAGGAUCAUUAUAUAAAGAAAGGCUAUGUAAUAUUCCUUUAUUAUUAUUAUUAUUUGCAUGAAAGUUGCAUAUCAAACGUGCAUAUUAUGUCACAACAGCGUUUGUAUGACAUUGACAUUUGAGUUAUUUAAAGUUUUAUUUCAGGAACACUUCCAUGAUGCUACAAGAAACACAGGAUACAUUUCUUGGCGUCUGAAAGCAAUCCAACAAAAGAUUUGUUGAGGAUCUGCACAAUCACUAAAUAGCCCUAUGGACACUUCUCCCAAAUGUCCAACGAGCUAUUCAUGUGCAAAGACAGCUGGAUGGGGACGUUUGCCAAGAGGACAUGUCUUUGCUCAACCAUACCACAGACAAUUCCCUGAUUUUUCAGAAAAUGAGAGAAACCGUUCAGCACCGUCAGAAGCUUGUUACUGACCCAAGCAGAGGUGUUGAUAUCCUCUCCACAUUCCCAAGAUUCCUGGAUAGCAAAGGAUUGAUCCAGAGUGUCGACGUAGCAGCUUUCAAGAAGAUCUGAUUCCAGUGUCUCUUUGUUUCGUCUCGUUUCUCUGCUGACGGUUAAUAGGAAAAACAAACGCUUGCACUUCAGCUAUUGUCUCGUGGUUUAGUGUUCUUGUCCUAAGAUUUAAAGGAUCAGUUCCCCCAAAUGACAAAUAUUUACCUUUAGUGGGGCACGCUGAUAGUUUUGGUUUAAUUUUUCCAGAUCCUUCCUUCUCAAUACACUUGAGGUGAGAGGAAUUUUGCUUAAGUUACUCACAAAAAAUGAAAAUUUUACGAAAACAAUGACACUGUUGCUCUGGAUAAUUCACAGACCUCACACUAAAGUUUUCUCUUGGACGACUUUCUACCACUUUCUAUUAAAGAAAAGGUCCCUCACAAUAAAGUGUUGGCAGUGAGGUCUGUGGAUUGUUCAGAGCAGCAGGGAUUGUUUCUGCAAAGUUGGUUUAAUCUUUUUAGAAGUUAAAACUAUCUACAUGGUUUAAUAUCUACAGUAUAAUGAAUAUUGAAGGGAUCAGACUACAAGAUGAUGUCUUUUCACAUUUUUCAUGAAAUACUAUAACUUUUUUAUGACUUUCUAAAGAUGUACUAUACUAUGACUUUUGACAUUGUUCUAUAUCAUGCUAAUAUUAAAAAAUAUUUUUCAUAAUGGAAUAUUUAAUGACAAAUUAUAUUCACAUUCUUUUAUGACAAAUGAUACUAUGUCUACUGUAAUAUAUUUUUUUGUGGUGUCAUAACCUGGCUCUUAGGCCAAGACAAACAUGAAAUUAAAGGUCUUUAUUGUAAAAAAGGAAACAAGCAAACAAAAAGCUACAAAUGUGAAGUGUGUCCGUCAGUAAAAGACAAAGGUUA